GAUGAACGCUGGCGGCGUGCCUAAUACAUGCAAGUCGAGCGAACAGACGAGGAGCUUGCUCCUCUGACGUCAGCGGCGGACGGGUGAGUAACACGUGGAUAACCUACCUAUAAGACUGGGAUAACUUCGGGAAACCGGAGCUAAUACCGGAUAAUAUAUUGAACCGCAUGGUUCAAUAGUGAAAGACGGUUUUGCUGUCACUUAUAGAUGGAUCCGCGCCGCAUUAGCUAGUUGGUAAGGUAACGGCUUACCAAGGCAACGAUGCGUAGCCGACCUGAGAGGGUGAUCGGCCACACUGGAACUGAGACACGGUCCAGACUCCUACGGGAGGCAGCAGUAGGGAAUCUUCCGCAAUGGGCGAAAGCUUGACGGAGCAACGCCGCGUGAGUGAUGAAGGUCUUCGGAUCGUAAAACUCUGUUAUUAGGGAAGAACAAAUGUGUAAGUAACUAUGCACGUCUUGACGGUACCUAAUCAGAAAGCCACGGCUAACUACGUGC
rnacentral:rRNA from 1 species